GACGAACGCUGGCGGCGUGCCUAAUACAUGCAAGUCGAGCGAAAAUUUGAGAGCUUGCUCUCAAAUUUUAGCGGCGGACGGGUGAGUAACACGUGGGCAACCUACCUUGUAGAUUGGGAUAACUCCGGGAAACCGGGGCUAAUACCGAAUAAUCCAUUUUGCUUCAUGGCGAGAUGUUGAAAGACGGUUUCGGCUGUCACUACAAGAUGGGCCCGCGGCGCAUUAGCUAGUUGGUAGGGUAAUGGCCUACCAAGGCGACGAUGCGUAGCCGACCUGAGAGGGUGAUCGGCCACACUGGGACUGAGACACGGCCCAGACUCCUACGGGAGGCAGCAGUAGGGAAUCUUCCACAAUGGACGAAAGUCUGAUGGAGCAACGCCGCGUGAGUGAAGAAGGUUUUCGGAUCGUAAAACUCUGUUGUAAGGGAAGAACACGUACGAGAGUAACUGCUCGUACCUUGACGGUACCUUAUUAGAAAGCCACGGCUAACUACGUG
rnacentral:rRNA from 1 species